rnacentral:lncRNA from 1 species
AAAGACUCAAACCCUAAAGCUUUCCUCUUUUUUUUUCCUUCUUCCAUCACACAGGCAUCGCCGAGAUCUUACCAUUGAGAAAACUGGUUUCCACCAUGCCUUCUACAUAAACACCAUUUCCUAUACGAAUUUUUGGUCACCGCAACUUAUUCAUUUUGGACUUAGUCCUAACACCUCCUAUUUUCUCCUUUACUAAAAAUUACCUCCCCUAUCCUUUUUUCUAUUGUGGGUUCAACUUUUGGUGGUAUCUCUUCUACCUAUUAAAUCAGUGAACCGCACUCUUGACCCCAGAACUAGAUGAUAUAGUUCAAAGAUGUAUGCCUUAAUGAACCUCGCAACAUCACACAUUCUAUCCUACAUUCCUUUAUGGUAGAUUUUAUUCCUAUUAAGCCAUAUUGCCCAAAAUGAUAUAGCUAUGUUUGCACAUUGUGAUAUAUCAUUGAUGUUAAAAAGGUGAACUAACCAUUGUAUCCACUCCUAAUUUUCAUUUGUGGGCAAGGUUAACAUUCCUACCUUCUGUAGCACAUCUCUUGUGAAGUUGCAAUCUCGAAAUAAGUGGGUUGUCGUUUCAUCUUCUUCUCCACAGACUGGACAGAGGGCAGUGGUCCUUAAUUUUAGAUUACAUAUCCUAGGCAAAUAGUUCUUUGUAAUUCUCCACAGGUUGAUUCUGAUCUUGCUGGAGACAUUAAGGCUUCAAAUUUUUGUAUAAUAAUUUUCCAUAGCAUUCAUUUGUGUUAUGUAUUCAUCCCCCAGCAAGAGUUGUUCUUCCGUAAGCCUCCAUCUGUAACCGCUUCUAGCUGUGUAAAUUCUGGACUUAUUGCCUCGCCAAGCUAGUACGUUUGGUUGAGAGGAAUUUACUAGUGGGAUGGAUACAAUUUGCUCGACCUGUUCUUCACUAAACAACCUGUUUAAGGUAUUCAUCUAUAAGAUUCGGUACCACUGUGUAUCUUCAAUUUAUAUUUUGACCCUUUAUUUUUCUUUCUCCAAGGUAUGCAAUCUACGAGUCAUUCCAUAUAUUAACUGUUUUACCAUCCCCGAUCCACCACCAAAUACCUUUUUCCAGAAUGUCUCAAGCGCCUCAAAUGCUUCGCGAGCUAAAG